UCCUUCAAAGAAUUUACCCGG
rnacentral:piRNA from 1 species